rnacentral:rRNA from 1 species
GGGUGACUGCGUACCUUUUGUAUAAUGGGUCAGCGACUUAUAUUCUGUAGCAAGGUUAACCGUAUAGGGGAGCCGCAGGGAAACCGAGUCUUAACUGGGCGUUAAGUUGCAGGGUAUAGACCCGAAACCCGGUGAUCUAGCCAUGGGCAGGUUGAAGGUUGGGUAACACUAACUGGAGGACCGAACCGACUAAUGUUGAAAAAUUAGCGGAUGACUUGUGGCUGGGGGUGAAAGGCCAAUCAAACCGGGAGAUAGCUGGUUCUCCCCGAAAGCUAUUUAGGUAGCGCCUCGUGAAUUCAUCUUCGGGGGUAGAGCACUGUUUCGGCUAGGGGGUCAUCCCGACUUACCAACCCGAUGCAAACUACGAAUACCGAAGAAUGUUAUCACGGGAGACACACGGCGGGUGCUAACGUCCGUCGUGAAGAGGGAAACAACCCAGACCGCCAGCUAAGGUCCCAAAGUCAUGGUUAAGUGGGAAACGAUGUGGGAAGGCCCAGACAGCCAGGAUGUUGGCUUAGAAGCAGCCAUCAUUUAAAGAAAGCGUAAUAGCUCACUGGUCGAGUCGGCCUGCGCGGAAGAUGUAACGGGGCUAAACCAUGCACCGAAGCUGCGGCAGCGACACUAUGUGUUGUUGGGUAGGGGAGCGUUCUGUAAGCCGUUGAAGGUGGCCUGUGAGGGUUGCUGGAGGUAUCAGAAGUGCGAAUGCUGACAUAAGUAACGAUAAUGCGGGUGAAAAACCCGCACGCCGGAAGACCAAGGGUUCCUGUCCAACGUUAAUCGGGGCAGGGUGAGUCGACCCCUAAGGCGAGGCCGAAAGGCGUAGUCGAUGGGAAACAGGUUAAUAUUCCUGUACUUGGUGUUACUGCGAAGGGGGGACGGAGAAGGCUAUGUUGGCCGGGCGACGGUUGUCCCGGUUUAAGCAUGUAGGCGGAUGUUCCAGGUAAAUCCGGAACGUCACUAACGCUGAGGUGUGAUGACGAGGCACUACGGUGCUGAAGUGACAAAUGCCCUGCUUCCAGGAAAAGCCUCUAAGCAUCAGGUAACAUCAAAUCGUACCCCAAACCGACACAGGUGGUCAGGUAGAGAAUACCAAGGCGCUUGAGAGAACUCGGGUGAAGGAACUAGGCAAAAUGGUGCCGUAACUUCGGGAGAAGGCACGCUGAUGGUAGGUGAAGUGACUUGCUCAUGGAGCUGAAAUCAGUCGAAGAUACCAGCUGGCUGCAACUGUUUAUUAAAAACACAGCACUGUGCAAACACGAAAGUGGACGUAUACGGUGUGACGCCUGCCCGGUGCCGGAAGGUUAAUUGAUGGGGUUAUCCUCACGGAGAAGCUCUUGAUCGAAGCCCCGGUAAACGGCGGCCGUAACUAUAACGGUCCUAAGGUAGCGAAAUUCCUUGUCGGGUAAGUUCCGACCUGCACGAAUGGCGUAAUGAUGGCCAGGCUGUCUCCACCCGAGACUCAGUGAAAUUGAACUCGCUGUGAAGAUGCAGUGUACCCGCGGCAAGACGGAAAGACCCCGUGAACCUUUACUAUAGCUUGACACUGAACACUGGUCCUUGAUGUGUAGGAUAGGUGGGAGGCUUUGAAGUGUGGACGCCAGUCUGCAUGGAGCCAUCCUUGAAAUACCACCCUUUAAUGGCUGGUGUUCUAACGUGGGCCCGUAAUCCGGGUUGCGGACAGUGUCUGGUGGGUAGUUUGACUGGGGCGGUCUCCUCCUAAAGAGUAACGGAGGAGCACGAAGGUCAGCUAAUCCUGGUCGGACAUCAGGAGGUUAGUGCAAUGGCAUAAGCUGGCUUGACUGCGAGCGUGACGGCGCGAGCAGGUGCGAAAGCAGGUCAUAGUGAUCCGGUGGUUCUGAAUGGAAGGGCCAUCGCUCAACGGAUAAAAGGUACUCCGGGGAUAACAGGCUGAUACCGCCCAAGAGUUCAUAUCGACGGCGGUGUUUGGCACCUCGAUGUCGGCUCAUCACAUCCUGGGGCUGAAGUAGGUCCCAAGGGUAUGGCUGUUCGCCAUUUAAAGUGGUACGCGAGCUGGGUUUAGAACGUCGUGAGACAGUUCGGUCCCUAUCUGCCGUGGGCGCUGGAGAAUUGAGGGGGGCUGCUCCUAGUACGAGAGGACCGGAGUGGACGCAUCACUGGUGUUCGGGUUGUCAUGCCAAUGGCAUUGCCCGGUAGCUAAAUGCGGAAGAGAUAAGUGCUGAAAGCAUCUAAGCACGAAACUUGCCCCGAGAUGAGUUCUCCCUGACUCCUUGAGAGUCCUGAAGGAACGUUGAAGACGACGACGUUGAUAGGCCGGGUGUGUAAGCGCAGCGAUGCGUUGAGCUAACCGGUACUAAUGAACCGUGAGGCUUAACCUUACAACGCCGAAG